UAGUCGGGGGGCAAAUACAGUUAUCUGUAUUUGCUGAGAUCGUAAUUCGAGACCCGUUGAACCUGAUUCAGUUAGCACUGGCGUAGGGAACUAUAA
rnacentral:ncRNA from 1 species